CGCACUGCCAGCCCUCCYGACCGUUAAAGCCGUUGGAACCGUUGGAACCGCACUAGGCGCUUGCCUACAGAAACGAAGAUAUGUUUCUCAUACGGAGAGAUGGAAGCAUCUGAGCUGUGACCUAUGACACAGCAUUCCAAGUGGCAGCUUCUGCCACAAAGGACUUGUGAAAGCCCUUCUGUGAUUCAGCAGAUCCAUACUCCUUGUUCUCUUCUGGCCCCAUCUGAACCUCACUGAARGUCAGGAAGAGAUUACAUUGAUUUUGAUGGAACUAGAAUCAGGCUUCUGCUAGGGGCAUGACUUCAGUUAAUGAACUUACACUAUUCUGAAAAGACRAAGGAACACUAAAGCCAAUUUUUAUUUAACUGAAUGAAGACCAAGCUGCAGAUGGGAUCACUGUCCCUACCAGGAAGAGGUUUCUUUUCAAGGGUUUCUCAGUCUGC